rnacentral:rRNA from 1 species
UACGAAGGGGGCUAGCGUUGCUCGGAAUCACUGGGCGUAAAGGGUGCGUAGGCGGGUCUUUAAGUCAGGGGUGAAAUCCUGGAGCUCAACUCCAGAACUGCCUUUGAUACUGAGGAUCUUGAGUUCGGGAGAGGUGAGUGGAACUGCGAGUGUAGAGGUGAAAUUCGUAGAUAUUCGCAAGAACACCAGCGGCGAAGGCGGCUUUCUGGUCCGAUUCUGACGCUGAGGCGCGAAAGCGUGGGGAGCGAUCCGG